rnacentral:rRNA from 1 species
AAAUGAAUUGACGGGGCCCCGCACAAGCAGUGGAGUAUGUGGUUUAAUUCGACGCAACGCGAAGAACCUUACCAGGUCUUGACAUCCGAUGACCGCCUAAGAGAUUAGGUUUUCCUUUCGGGGACAUCGAGACAGGUGGUGCAUGGUUGUCGUCAGCUCGUGUCGUGAGAUGUUGGGUUAAGUCCCGCAACGAGCGCAACCCUUAUCGUCAGUUACUACGCAAGAGGACUCUGGCGAGACUGCCGUUGACAAAACGGAGGAAGGUGGGGAUGACGUCAAAUCAUCAUGCCCUUUAUGACCUGGGCUACACACGUACUACAAUGGCGCUUAACAAAGAGCAGCGAUAUCGCGAGAUGGAGCGAAUCUCAAAAACAGCGUCUCAGUUCGGACUGCAGGCUGCAACUCGCCUGCACGAAGCCGGAAUUGCUAGUAAUCGCAGAUCAGCAUGCUGCGGUGAAUACGUUCCCGGGGCUUGUACACACCGCCCGU